GGUCACCCUACAAUUACAGCAGACAACUUCACUCUCAUCCCACAGUAUAAAUGGAAAAUUUCCACUCAUUCAACAAUCCAAUACAGUUUGCUACAAAUAUUUGUGUGAAGUGCUAUCGUCUAUAAAGCAUAAGAUUUGUGCAAACAUUGGCGAUUUGAAUAUUAGUGAAAUCAAAUAUAUAAACCAUAUUUAACAAUGGCUGAACGAAAUUCUAAUAUAAGAAACAUACAAAAGUGUGACUCAGAUGAUAAGGCAACAUGUAGUGGUUUUGGAACUCAAAAAGUCCCUUCAGAACUCUUAAAAACACCCAAAAUGGAGGGAAAAGGUGACAUGGACGUGCUAGAUAGAUUCAUCGAAAUAGCUUUGCAGUCUGACAAAGACACACAAAAAGAUGAAAGAAUCUUGAAGAAUAAAAUUGAAUCUACAGAAAAUAAGGGAAGCCUUCCUGAAGACAUACACUUUCAGCAAGAAAACAUUAAGCUGGCGCACAAGUUUAACAAGAAUAUUUUCCAAGAAACCAAGAAUGGGAAUGAAAGUGCUAGUUAUAACUUUCAUCUCUCACCAGAUUGAAUGAACUUUGCUUUGAAAUCACUGAAAAUUUGAAACUUAAUACACAAACACCUUUGGAUUCUAAACCUCUUUGGAUUUAGAGCGAGAUGAAAUCCUAAGAAUUCUAGGAACAAGUAAACUACUUCUACUCGGCACUGGAUGUCCACGCUAUAAGGAAUCGUCACUGAAGACAAUUUUUAUUUGACAUCCGAAAGAAAAUCUUGUUGAGAGAUAAAUUGGUGUAAGUGUUUAAUUAUAUUACUAUAAUAUCUUUCGUGAGGUGGAUUUAUGAUGACAAUCAUUAAUUCAUGUUUACUCAGUUUGAAUCGCGUCGCUGCCGCGUCAGCUCAUGAUUAAGGACUCCGGUUGGGUCCGAAACUAGUUGGGCAACCUCGAUAGAUAAGCGUGA